rnacentral:rRNA from 1 species
AGCCCAGCAGUGAAUCCCGCGGUUCCAGCGAUCGCCGGGAGAUGUGGUGUUCGGGAGUUUCCGCUUUCUCGUCGUCGCGCGUCCUGUCCAAGUUCGUCUUGAACGGGGCCGCUUUCCCGUAGAGGGUGCCAGGCCCGUAGUGACGGAGNCCGGCGGCGAGAGGAAUUCUCCUCAGAGUCGGGUUGCUUGAGAGUGCAGCCCUAAGUGGGUGGUAAACUCCAUCUAAGGCU